GAAUUUUGGACAAUGGGCGCAAGCCUGAUCCAGCCAUGCCGCGUGGGGGAAGAAGGCCUUCGGGUUGUAAACCGCUUUUGUCGGGGAGGAAGAGNUUCUGGUUAAUACCUGGGACUCAUGACGGUACCUGAAGAAUAAGCACCGGCUAACUACGUGCCAGCAGCCGCGGUAAUACGUAGGGUGCAAGCGUUAAUCGGAAUUACUGGGCGUAAAGCGCGCGCAGGCGGUUAUUUAAGUCAGAUGUGAAAUCCCCGGGCUCAACCUGGGAACUGCCUUUGAUACUGCNNGGCUAGAGUAUGGUAGAGGGGGAUGGAAUUCCUGGUGUAGCGGUGAAAUGCGUAGAUAUCCGGAGGAACACCGAUGGCGAAGGCAAUCCCCUGGACCUGUACUGACGCUCAGGC
rnacentral:rRNA from 1 species